AGUCUGCAGAAGUAUUGUAGAUAUUGCCUGCCCAAUGUAAAAUAAAUGGCCGCAGAACUUUAACUGUGCAAAGGUAGCAUAAUCAUUUGUCUUUUAAUUGGAGACUUGUAUGAAUGGCUAAACGAGAUUCUACUGUCUCAAAUGGGUUUUUUUAAACUUGCUAAAAAGGUGCAAAAUCCUUUUUGCUUUAAAAAGACGAGAAGACCCUCAGAGUUUUUACAAAAAGAUUUUAAAAUCUUACGUUUUUGUUGGGGCAACAAAGGAGUCACCCUCCUUAGAUACAAGAUAUUUUUUUGAAGGAAAAAACUACCUGAGGGAUAACAGCAUAAUCCUAAAAGGGUUUGUGACCUCGAUGUUGGACUAGGUAAAGAACUUUCCAGAAGAAAGUUCUAAAAGCUCUGUUCGAGCUUUUGAUCCU
rnacentral:rRNA from 1 species